GGUUAUGUGGCCGAGAGGUUAAGGCGCCACGUUAGGGUGAGAACCUUGAUACAAUCUCUGGAUCCUGUGGUCCGAAAGGGCGUGAGCUCGAAUCUCCCCGUUAUCA